AGAUGAGGAAACUGCGGCAUUGAGAGGCUUCACAACUUAUCAAGAUCACAUGGCCAGUAUGUGAAGUAUUUGAAUCCUGGCUCCAGGCAUGCUAGCUCCAGAUGAAGAUUUUAGGCUGUGGUUCAAGGAAUCCGUCAUACUUCAGUAAUUCUGCACUCCUCAAGCCCUUGUGGGACAGCCUUGUGUGUUCAGGAUGAGCUUCUAGAACAACAGGCUUCCACGUCUUCGACAGCAGAGUAAAGAUUUUCCAUCAGCGUACACAUAAAAACAGAGUGGCCUGUCCAAAAUGCUUUGAGCAAAAUAAAAAGCAUGUUGCCCAAGCACCCCAUCAACUUUUCUUGUUCACUCUCUAAUUCCAGCUACUUUGCUUCACUUGUAGUGUGACAGUGCAUAACAGUGGGACAUAGCAUAUACCGAAGCCUCACAAAACUGUGUACCCCCUGCUCACUUCCUCUGGAAUUCACGACAAGAGUAUUUUUAUUCUUUCUCUUUAGUCUUUUGAUGUGUUUUACUGAUUUUUCUCUCUCUGCCUUCCUCUUAGAGGUUAGUGUUCCCCAAGGAUUUUUCCUGUUUUCUCUUUCCUCACAUUCCUACUAAGAAUUUCAUCUGUGCCCAUUUCAGCCACCAGCUGCUAUCUGCUUAUGAUUCCCAGACUCCACCAAAUAUUCCCUGGAUGCUCUGUAGGCACCUCAAAUUUUAUGUGUUCCAAAUCUCAUCCUAUUUUCUCACUCAUCUCUUCGGAAAGUUACUAUCUCAGUGAAGAGCACAGCACUUAUCCUUUCAGCCAGGCCUGAGAGAUGAGAGUUAGGGCAGGCUCUCGUUGAUUUACCUCCUGAGAGCCAGAGGCACGAUGCUGUUCAGGUGCUGGAGCCCAGGUUCUUCAUGGAUGCUGCCACAUACCAUGGAGCACAGAGUUGAUAGGUCUAAGUCAAUGAGUAACAAAAUGUGAGAAACAACCCCCUGGGAAAGAGUUUUACUCCCCAGUAAAAAGAGACAUGCUGGAAGAACUUAUUCUGGUCUGGGUUGUGGUGACACAAGGAUCUGAUAACUGAUGCUUCGGCAGCCACCAUGAAGAUACAGCAUGGGGUGAAUGUCAAACCUUUGCCAUAUAAAGCACAAAAUGGAAAGCUGCUGGAUUCUUGAUUAUGUUGGAAAGCCAUUGAAUUAAUUAUCCCUAGAGCUGCUUAUCUGGACUUCAAUGUUGUUAGUUAAUAAACUCUUUAGUAUUUAAAUCACUUUUAUUUGGGUAUGGAGAGUAUCCUAUCUUCUCCCAUAUUAAAUCCAUUAAUAAGACC